UGGGGAAUUUUGGACAAUGGGCGAAAGCCUGAUCCAGCAAUGCCGCGUGCGUGAAGAAGGCCUUCGGGUUGUAAAGCACUUUUGUCCGGAAAGAAAUCCUUGGCUCUAAUACAGUCGGGGGAUGACGGUACCGGAAGAAUAAGCACCGGCUAACUACGUGCCAGCAGCCGCGGUAAUACGUAGGGUGCAAGCGUUAAUCGGAAUUACUGGGCGUAAAGCGUGCGCAGGCGGUUUGCUAAGACCGAUGUGAAAUCCCCGGGCUCAACCUGGGAACUGCAUUGGUGACUGGCAGGCUAGAGUAUGGCAGAGGGGGGUAGAAUUCCACGUGUAGCAGUGAAAUGCGUAGAGAUGUGGAGGAAUACCGAUGGCGAAGGCAGCCCCCUGGGCCAAUACUGACGCUCAUGCACGAAAGCGUGGGGAGCAAACAGGAUUAGAUACCCUGGUAGUCCACGCCCUAAACGAUGUCAACUAGUUGUUGGGGAUUCAUUUCCUUAGUAACGUAGCUAACGCGUGAAGUUGACCGCCUGGGGAGUACGGUCGCAAGAUU
rnacentral:rRNA from 1 species